CCCCUACGGGACGCAGCAGUGAGGAAUAUUGGUCAAUGGUCGGGAGACUGAACCAGCCAAGCCGCGUGAGGGAGGAAGGUACAGAGUAUCGUAAACCUCUUUUGUCAGGGAACAAAGGCGGGGACGUGUCCCCGGAUGAGUGUACCUGAAGAAAAAGCAUCGGCUAACUCCGUGCCAGCAGCCGCGGUAAUACGGAGGAUGCGAGCGUUAUCCGGAUUUAUUGGGUUUAAAGGGUGUGCAGGCGGUCUGUUAAGUCAGCGGUCAAAGCUGGGGGCUCAACCCCGGCCCGCUGUUGAAAUUGGCAG
rnacentral:rRNA from 1 species